rnacentral:rRNA from 1 species
AGUGAACGCUGGCGGUAGGCCUAACACAUGCCAGUCGAACGGCAGCACAGUAAGAGCUUGCUCUUACGGGUGGCGAGUGGCGGACGGGUGAGGAAUACAUCGGAAUCUACUUUUUCGUGGGGGAUAACGUAGGGAAACUUACGCUAAUACCGCAUACGACCUACGGGUGAAAGCAGGGGAUCUUCGGACCUUGCGCGAUUGAAUGAGCCGAUGGCGGAUUAGCGAGUUGGCGGGGUAAAGGCCCACCAAGGCGACGAUCCGUAGCUGGUCUGAGAGGAUGAUCAGCCACACUGGAACUGAGACACGGUCCAGACUCCUACGGGAGGCAGCAGUGGGGAAUAUUGGACAAUGGGCGCAAGCCUGAUCCAGCCAUACCGCGUGGGUGAAGAAGGCCUUCGGGUUGUAAAGCCCUUUUGUUGGGAAAGAAAAGCAGCAGGUUAAUCCCCCGCUGUUCUGACGGUACCCAAAGAAUAAGCACCGGCUAACUUCGUG